UACGAAGGGGGCUAGCGUUGUUCGGAUUUACUGGGCGUAAAGCGCACGUAGGCGGAUUGUUAAGUCGGGGGUGAAAUCCUGGAGCUCAACUCCAGAAUUGCCUUCGAUACUGGCUUUCUAGAGGCUGGAAGAGGUUAGUGGAAUUCCCAGUGUAGAGGUGAAAUUCGUAGAUAUUGGGAAGAACACCAGUGGCGAAGGCGGCUAACUGAUCCAGAUCUGACGCUGAGGUGCGAAAGCGUGGGGAGCAAACAGG
rnacentral:rRNA from 1 species